AGCUCCAAUAGCGUAUAUUAAAUUUGUUGAAGUUAAAAAGCUCGUAGUUGGAUCUCAGGUUUGGUGUGUCGGUGUGGUCUAUGGCCAUCUCCGUUCACAUCUGCCUUUUUUAGCUGUUUGUCUACCUAUGGUUCUCUUCAUUGAGUGCUGUAGGGAGCUCGGCACGUUUACCUUGAAAAAAUCAGAGUGCUUAAAGCAGGCCUUUGUGCUUGUAUGGUGUUGCAUGGAAUAAUGGAAUAGGACUUCGGUUCUAUUUUGUUGGUUUUCGGUACCGAAGUAAUGAACAAUAGAGACAGUCGGGGGCAUUUCUAUGGCUGUGUUAGAGGUGAAAUUCUGAGAUCGCAGCCAGAGAAACUACUGCGAAAGCAUUUGCCAAGUAUGUCUUCA
rnacentral:rRNA from 1 species